rnacentral:sRNA from 1 species
AGCCUAAACUUCAUGAAUAUCAUGUGGCAUGGCACUAAAUUCCUAUCAGGAUAUUGAACCCGUCGUUCAGCAUCCUGAUAGGUCGUACCCGAAAGGGCUACGGGCAUCGAAAGGUGCC